GGGAGCCCCGGAUGGGCGCCCCUGCUCCUGCUGGCCGUUGGCCUCUGUGCCUCUGGUGGGAUCGUCUGUUCCCGCUCGCCCUGCUGGAGCACCCACGGCCUUCUGGCCCUUCACACAGCGAGGUGCCAUUGCCAGGAGAGCAGUUUUACUGGUGAGUGUGAUUUGCUGAUCCGCUGCCCCCUCCACCCCUGUGGUCCAGAUCCUCAGUAGCCCUGCAUCCGGGGGACAGGCACAGGCCGGCCUGGCCUUGUGGUGCAGAGCUGCCAGAGGCCACGGUGGGGGGCAUCAGCCACGUGCUUUCCCCCAGGGAUCCUCAGCCUCUGGGUAGAUAGAACUGCACAGUGUGGACAGGGUUCCCUCAGACCCGUGGGGCUGAGGAGAUGCAGUGUAGGCAGGGUUCCCUGUGACCCGGGGGUGCUGAGUGGAGGUGACUGCAGUGUGGACAGGGUUCCCUGUGACCCAGGGGGACUGAGUGGAGGUGACUGCAGUGUGGACAGGGUUCCCUGUGACCCAGGGGGACUGAGUGGAGGUGACUGCAGUGUGGACAGGGUUCCCUGUGACCCAGGGGGACUGAGUGGAGGUGACUGCAGUGUGGACAGGGUUCCCUGUGACCCAGGGGGACUGAGUGGAGGCGACUGCAGUGUGGACAGGGUUUCCUGUGACCCAUGGGG